CUUUUUUCUCUUAACUCUACUCUCAUUCUCCAAAUACUCAGUGCUGAUUUAGGCAUCGGAGUGGUGGUCAACUAACCCACCGGGUGUUCCUUAGUGUUGUCUUGCAUAUUCAAGCACCGAGAUCCAUCAUUUCAUACCCACAGAAGAGGAGAACACGUUUUAAACAUUACAACUAAAGUCUAAAGAUGCCAUGGAGAUGUAAACUUUGGAGAGAUAUCCACCAAUCUAAUCAAGAUUAAGUAAGAUGAAACUUCAUAGGAAGACUUUGCUGUUGACAUAUUCUUAUGGUACAAUUGACAAGAACUACAAACACUCUGAUCUUGAUUUGUUAAUCUAUAAAUGGCCUUAGCUUUUUAGUUUCAUUGUGAUGCAAUCAAGUUUAAGCAAAUUUCUAUUGCAUUGCUCAAAGUUGUUUAAAAAAGUUUCCAUUUGCGGAUAUCAGUGACAAUAAACUUGACGAGAGCCUCUCCAUGUGGUUGCUUGCUUCGUGAGAGUUUAUAAGCUUUAAUAAAGUAUGAACGUCAAUAAAUAACUGCAGAAAACUAGAGAAAAUGUAAUUAUGCAACCACAUAUCAAAUUUGAUAGCACAUUUAACUUUAUGUUACUUUUUUCUUUUGCACAGUUGUGCACCCAAGUAAAGAAAAACAACCAAUUCUUAUCACUUCAUAAUACAAGCAUUGAUAACUUGACAGAAAAUAAAGAAUUGACCUUUCCGCUGCAGAGCAUACUUUGGCAGUUCCUUCACAGAGAGUUUCUGCUUUCAAGAAGGCAUUUCUACUGCAGAAUGCAUGCGGGCAAAGAAAUUUUCAUAGAUAAACUUUUUGGAGUGAACAUUUGCCACAAAACUGCGA
rnacentral:misc_RNA from 1 species